rnacentral:lncRNA from 1 species
GGUUUCCUUCUUGUCUCCAGUGACCAGGGACGAGACCUGGCUUAAUACUCUCCUCGGACAAAGGCUGUUUUGCCACUAACAUGGGAUCUCCUCUUUCAUGAUGGAUCACAUUUCCAGUAAACUAGAGGCUUACUAUGCCAGGGAAAAGGCAGAUAUAUACAUUACAAGACAGUGAUAUCAAGGGGAUACUAAUAAAACACACAGACAUCCCCCCUCAUGCUGCCAAGACUAUAUACCAUUUUGUUUCCAUUACAUCAAUUUUUUUCUCCCCUUUUGCAAGCAUUAAUCAAAGAAACGUGAAGAGCUCAUUAAAGUGAUAGAUUGACUGAAAAUGUAACCACCUUUUCAUUAUAAACAGUUUCUUUAUGUUCUUGGUGCUAUGGGCUUUGUUUUU